CCUACGGGGGGCAGCAGUGGGGAAUAUUGCACAAUGGGGGAAACCCUGAUGCAGCGACGCCGCGUGAGUGAAGAAGUAAUUCGUUAUGUAAAGCUCUAUCAGCAGGGAAGAAAAGGACGGUACCUGAGUAGGAAGCUCCGUCUAACUACGUGACAGCAGCCGCGGUAAUACGUAGGGGGCAAGCGUUAUACGGAUUUACUGGGUGUAAAGGGAGCGUAGACGGCAUUGCAAGUCUGGAGUGAAAGGCGGGGGCUCAACCCUCGGACUGCUUUGGAAACUGUACGGCUGGAGUGCAGUAGAGGUAAGUUGAAUUCGUAGUGUAGCGGUGAAAUGCGUAGAUAUUAGGAGGAACACCAGUGGCGAAGGCGGUUUACUGGACUGUAACUGACGUUGAGGCUCGAAAGCGUGGGGAGCAAACAGGAUUAGAUACCCUGGUAGUC
rnacentral:rRNA from 1 species